rnacentral:lncRNA from 1 species
GUUUGUGCAUAUAUAUAUGCAUACACACACAUACAUAUAUUUAUAUAUUUUUAUAUAUUUGUAUAUAUAUAAAUACACACACACACACACACACACAUAAAACUAUGGCUACAAAUCUAAAUAAUAAUCAUUUCCACUUCACCAUGGUAGUAACAUCAUUAGUCUGUCCUAAAUCUCUGUCUUUGUUUCUUUUUUGACCUGCCCUGAUUUACUUCAAGGAUAUCUGAAACUACUUUUUCUCCUUUCCCCCUACACACAGAAAGCAAAUCCUAUGCUACCUGGCUCUACCUUCUGCUUUGCUUGUUUCAGGGCUGGUUAAAUGGGGCUCUAAAUUUUUAAAUGUGUAAGUUCCAGAAUCACAGAAACCUUAGAAGGUAUUGAACAGCUAAAGCUUUGAAGCAACGAGACUUUAGAUCCUCUCUCCUCAUUCCUGUUUUCCUCAUCAUAAAAGCCUUUUCAAGAAGCAGAAGAAUGAUGAAAGAGAUGGGGCCAACCAUCUCAGAGAAGUUUGUGAAAUGAAGUUGUGGAUAGUUAACAGCAAGGUUCCCAGAAGUAACAAGAUGGAAUCAGUUCAUCCCAAACACUUCGAUGUCCAGCUUCUCAGGAAAAUAAUUGGAUCCUUUGCAAAUGAGCACCAUUGCUAGUCAUAAUUGGCUACUUCAUCCUAGGGAAGAGAUAAGUAGUCCAAGAAUUUGAGAUGAUGCUCAGCGUUGCAAUAAUCUCAAAUGGAGAUCUUCAGAUACACCCUGAUAGGAGUUGGAUAUCGUAACUCUUAGAAGGAUGAGAUGGAUUCUUCUGCUAUGGUCUGCUAGAGGAAUUGCUGCAUGCAUUCCAGAGCUUACCUAUUUGCACAGAAAGCCAAUGGAGGAUGUGCACAUGCUUUCAAAAGACACAGGGUUCAACUCUAUGUUGAGUAGAAGUUCAUUUGUUAAGACAUUUUCACUGAUUCAAGAUCCCAGUAACUUUGCUGCCCAGAAGAACCCCAGAAAGCAUUGA